ensembl:lncRNA
UUAAUUAAGUUUUAGUGGAGAAUGCGGGCGUUGAUCCCGCUACUUCUCGCAUGCUAAGCGAGCGCUCUACCAUUUAAGCUAAUUCCCCAACACAUAAUGCAAACUUGUGUACUUGACCUAAGUGCCCCCCUGCAUUUAACGCCUUUACAAACUUCCCAGGAAUAUGAAAAACAUGCUACAAUAUUGACAUUCAUUUAAUCAUCCCAUGAAAACAAAAGAAAUAGGACGAGGUGGCCGAGUGGUUAAGAUAAUGGACUGCUAAUCCAUUGUGCUCAGAUCAUCAAGAAAAAACACAUUAAUGCCAUUCAACAAGUCCUUUUGCAAUGACACGUUGGUGCAUCCUGCUGAUUCAAAGUGAGCAAUGUUUGUUUACAAAUCUGGUCGUUUUCCAUUAAUCACAGGCACAUAAUUAAUUAAGCUUUAGUGGAGAAUCAAGCAUUGAUCCCGCUACUUCUCACAUGCUAAGCUCUACCAUUUGAGCUAAUCCCCCAACUCAAAAUGAAAAUUUGUGCACUUGGCCUAAGUGCCCCCUGUAUUUAACGCCUUUACAAACUUCCCAGGAACAUGAAAAACAUGCUACAAUAUUGACAAUUAUCUAAUCAUCCUAUGAAAACAAAGGCAGUAGGACGAGGUGGCCGAGUGGUUAAGGCGAUGGACUGCUAAUCCAUUGUGCUCUGCACGCAUGGGUUCGAAUCCCAUUCUCGUCGCAUUUACCUGAUGCUCGCUUACCAUGUAAGUGUUUGGAGAAAGGCUCAGAUCGUCAAGAAAACCUCAUUGAUGCAUGCAACGACACACAGGUGCAUCCUGCUGAUUUCGAUUGUGCAGCAGUUGUUUAUCAAUCUGGUCAUUUUCCACUAUUCGCAGGCACAAAAUUAAUUAAGUUUUAGUGGAGAAUGCGGGCGUUGAUCCCGCUACUUCUCGCAUGCUAAGCGAGCGCUCUACCAUUUGAGCUAAUUCCCCAACACAUAAUGCAAACUUGUGUACUUGACCUAAGUGCCCCCCUGCAUUUAACGCCUUUACAAACUUCCCAGGAACAUGAAAAACAUGCUACAAUAUUGACAUUCAUUUAAUCAUCCCAUGAAAACAAAAGAAAUAGGACGAGGUGGCCGAGUGGUUAAGAUGAUGGACUGCUAAUCCAUUGUGCUCAGAUCAUCAAGAAAAAACACAUUAAUGCCAUUCAACAAGUCCUUUUGCAAUGACACGUUGGUGCAUCCUGCUGAUUCAAAGUGAGCAAUGUUUGUUUACAAAUCUGGUCGUUUUCCAUUAAUCACAGGCACAUAAUUAAUUAAGCUUUAGUGGAGAAUGCGGGCAUUGAUCCCGCUACUUCUCGCAUGCUAAGCUCUACCAUUUGAGCUAAUCCCCCAACUCGAAAUGAAAAUUUGUGCACUUGGCCUAAGUGCCCCCCUGUAUUUAACGCCUUUACAAACUUCCCAGGAACAUGAAAAACAUGCUACAAUAUUGACAAUUAUCUAAUCAUCCUAUGAAAACAAAGGCAGUAGGACGAGGUGGCCGAGUGGUUAAGGCGAUGGACUGCUAAUCCAUUGUGCUCAGAUCAUCAAGAAAAAACACAUUAAUGCCAUUCAACAAGUCCUUUUGCAAUGACACGUUGGUGCAUCCUGCUGAUUCAAAGUGAGCAAUGUAUGUUUACAAAUCUGGUCGUUUUCCAUUAAUCACAGGCACAUAAUUAAUUAAGCUUUGGUGGAGAAUGCGGGCAUUGAUCCCGCUACUUCUCGCAUGCUAAGCUCUACCAUUUGAGCUAUUCCCCCAACUCGAAAUGAAAAUUUGUGUACUUGGCCUAAGUGCCCCCCUGCAUUUAACGCCUUUACAAACUUCCCAGGAACAUGAAAAACAUUCUACAAUAUUGACAAUUAUCUAAUCAUCCUAAGAAAACAAAGGCAGUAGGACGAGGUGGCCGAGUGGUUAAGGCGAUGGACUGCUAAUCCAUUGUGCUCUGCACGCAUGGGUUCAAAUCCCAUUCUCGUCGCAUUUACCUGAUGCUCGCUUACCAUGUCAGUGUUUGGAGAAAGGCUCAGAUCGUCAAGAAAACCUCAUUGAUGCAUUCAACGAGUCAUUUUGCAACGACACGCAGGUGCAUCCUGCUGAUUUCGAUUGUGCAGCAGUUGUUUAUCAAUCUGGUCAUUUUCCACUAUUCGCAGGCACAAAAUAAAUUAAGUUUUAGUGGAGAAUGCGGUCGUUGAUCCCGCUACUUCUCGCAUGCUAAGCGAG